rnacentral:rRNA from 1 species
GACAGUCUCGGUUCGGAUUGAAGGCUGAAAUUCGCCUUCAUGAAGCCGGGAAUUGCUAGUAAUGGCAGGUCAGCAUACUGCCGUGAAUACGUUCCCGGGCCUUGUACACACCGCCCGUCACACCAUGAGAGUUGGGAAUACCCGAAGCCUGUGAGCUAACGUUAAGAGGCAGCAGUCGAAGGUAGAAUCAAUGAUUGGGGUGAAGUCGUAACAAGGUACC